rnacentral:rRNA from 1 species
AGCGAAUGCUGGCGGCAGGCCUAACACAUGCAAGUCGAACGAAGUCUUCGGACUUAGUGGCGGACGGGUGAGUAACACGUGGGAACGUGCCUUUAGGUUCGGAAUAACUCAGGGAAACUUGUGCUAAUACCGAAUGUGCCCUUCGGGGGAAAGAUUUAUCGCCUUUAGAGCGGCCCGCGUCUGAUUAGCUAGUUGGUGGGGGAAUGGCCCACCAAGGCUACGAUCAGUAGCUGGUCUGAGAGGAUGACCAGCCACAUUGGGACUGAGACACGGCCCAAACUCCUACGGGAGGCAGCAGUGGGGAAUCUUGCGCAACGGGCGAAAGCCUGACGCAGCCAGGCCGCGUGGAUGAUGAAGGUCUUAGGAUUGUAAAAUCCUUUCACCGGUGAAGAUAAUGACUGUAGCCGGAGAAGAAGCCCCGGCUAACUUCGUGCCAGCAGCCGCCGUAAUAC